GUGAGUAACGCGUGGGUAACCUGCCCUGUACACACGGAUAACAUACCGAAAGGUAUGCUAAUACGAGAUAAUAUACUUUUAUCGCAUGGUAGAAGUAUCAAAGCUUUUGCGGUACAGGAUGGACCCGCGUCUGAUUAGCUAGUUGGUAAGGUAACGGCUUACCAAGGCGACGAUCAGUAGCCGACCUGAGGGGGUGAUCGGCCACAUUGGAAGUGAGACACGGUCCAAACUCCUACGGGAGGCAGCAGUGGGGAA
rnacentral:rRNA from 1 species